rnacentral:rRNA from 1 species
GACGAACCGUCCAAACGUUAUUCGGAAUUACUGGGCUUAAAGGGUGCGUAGGCGGCGCGGAAAGUUGGGUGUGAAAUCCCUCGGCUCAACCGAGGAACUGCGCCCAAUACUACCGUGCUUGAGGGAGAUAGAGGUGAGCGGAACUUAGGGUGGAGCGGUGAAAUGCGUAGAGAUUGGAAAGAACACCGAUGGCGAAGGCACUUUACUGGGCUAUUACUAACACUCAGAGACGAAAGCUAGGGUAGCAAAUGGG